rnacentral:tRNA from 3 species
GCGCCCGUAGUUCAAUUGGAUAGAGCGUCAGUUUCCGAAACUGGAUGUUGUAGGUUCGAGUCCUACCGGGCGUACCA